rnacentral:rRNA from 1 species
AUUGAACGCUGGCGGAAUGCUUUACACAUGCAAGUCGAACGGCAGCACGGGGCAACCUGGUGGCGAGUGGCGAACGGGUGAGUAAUACAUCGGAACGUGCCCAAUCGUGGGGGAUAACGUAGCGAAAGUUACGCUAAUACCGCAUACGAUCUACGGAUGAAAGCGGGGGAUCGCAAGACCUCGCGCGAGUGGAGCGGCCGAUGUCAGAUUAGGUAGUUGGUGGGGUAAAGGCUCACCAAGCCAACGAUCUGUAGCUGGUCUGAGAGGACGACCAGCCACACUGGAACUGAGACACGGUCCAGACUCCUACGGGAGGCAGCAGUGGGGAAUUUUGGACAAUGGGCGCAAGCCUGAUCCAGCCAUUCCGCGUGCAGGAUGAAGGCCUUCGGGUUGUAAACUGCUUUUGUACGGAACGAAACGGCGAGCUCUAAUACAGUUGCUAAUGACGGUACCGUAAGAAUAAGCACCGGCUAACUACGUGCCAGCAGCCGCGGUAAACG